AGCAGCCGCGGUAAUUCCAGCUCCAAUAGCGUAUAUUAAAGUUGCUGCAGUUAAAAAGCUCGUAGUUGAAUUUCGGGACCAAUAUGUCGGUCGUGCCUCGGUACGUACUGGCAUCGUUGGUUUCUCCCUUCUGACGAACCAUGAUGUCAUUUAUUUGGUGUCGUGGGAAAUCAGGACUGUUACUUUAGAAAAAAUUAGAGUGUUUAAAGCAGGCUCACGCUUGAAUACAUUAGCAUGGAAUAAUGAAAUAGGACGUUUGAUUCUAUUUUGUUGGUUUCUAGGAUCGACGUAAUGAUUAAUAGGGAUAGUUGGGGGCAUUAGUAUUCAAUUGUCAGAGGUGAAAUUCUUGGAUUUAUUGAAGACUAACUACUGCGAAAGCAUUUGCCAAGGAUGUUUUCAUUAAUCAAGAACGAAAGUUAGGGGAUCGAAGACGAUCAGAUACCGUCGUAGUCUUAACCAUAAACUAUGCCGACUAGGGGUCGGAUGAUGUUAAUUUUUAAUGACUCAUUCGGCGCCUUAA
rnacentral:rRNA from 1 species